rnacentral:rRNA from 1 species
UACGUAGGGGGCAAGCGUUGUCCGGAUUUAUUGGGCGUAAAGAGCGUGUAGGCGGCCGUACAGGUCAGCUGUGAAAACUCGAGGCUCAACCUCGAGACGUCGGUUGAAACCGUACGGCUAGAGUCCGGAAGAGGAGAGUGGAAUUCCCGGUGUAGCGGUGAAAUGCGCAGAUAUCGGGAAGAACACCCGUGGCGAAGGCGGCUCUCUGGGACGGUACUGACGCUGAGACGCGAAAAGCGUGGGGGAGCAAACAGG